UGCGGCUUCUCUGCCGGGCUGGUGAUGGAGGCGCUGGCCACGGAGCUGGGGGCUCUGACUCCGGAGCAAGCGGCGGCUCCUGUGAACACGGUGGAGGAAAAAUGGAGACUUCUUCCAGCAUUUCUAAAGGUGAAAGGACUUGUGAAGCAGCACAUAGACUCAUUCAACUAUUUCAUCAAUGUAGAGAUAAAGAAAAUCAUGAAGGCCAAUGAAAAAGUUACAAGUGAUGCUGACCCAAUGUGGUACUUGAAGUACCUCAAUAUCUAUGUGGGUACUCCAGAUGUGGAAGAAAGCUUCAAUGUGACACGACCUGUAUCGCCUCAUGAGUGCCGCUUGAGAGACAUGACUUAUUCUGCCCCGAUUACAGUGGACAUUGAAUAUACACGAGGUAGCCAGAGGAUCAUACGCAAUGCAUUACCCAUUGGCAGAAUGCCUAUAAUGCUGCGUAGCUCCAAUUGUGUUCUUACUGGGAAAACUCCAGCAGAAUUUGCCAAACUUAAUGAAUGUCCUUUAGAUCCAGGUGGCUAUUUCAUUGUUAAAGGUGUAGAAAAAGUCAUCCUUAUUCAAGAGCAGUUAUCCAAAAACAGAAUCAUUGUGGAAGCUGAUAGAAAAGGCACAGUUGGCGCUUCUGUUACCAGUUCCACUCACGAGAAGAAGAGCAGAACAAAUAUGGUUGUGAAACAAGGAAGAUUUUACCUCAGGCACAACACUCUGUCAGAAGAUAUUCCCAUUGCUAUCAUAUUUAAGGCCAUGGGUGUUGAGAGUGACCAAGAGAUUGUACAAAUGAUUGGCACAGAGGAACAUGUGAUGGCUGCAUUUGCUCCUAGUCUGGAAGAAUGCCAAAAAGCUCAGAUUUUUACACAGAUGCAGGCAUUGAAGUACAUUGGAAACAAAGUACGAAGGCAAAGGAUGUGGGGAGGCCCAAAGAAAACAAAGAUGGAAGAAGCACGAGAGCUGCUAGCAUCAACUAUUCUGACCCACGUUCUUGUGAAGGAAUUCAAUUUUCGUGCCAAGUGCAUAUACACAGCAGUGAUGGUGCGCAGAGUAAUUUUGGCUCAAGGAGAAAAUAAAGUAGAUGACAGAGACUACUAUGGAAAUAAACGUUUGGAGUUGGCAGGGCAGCUUCUAUCUCUUCUAUUUGAAGAUUUGUUCAAAAAAUUUAACUCUGAACUGAAAAAGAUUGCUGACCAGGUAAUCCCCAAGCAACGUGCAGCUCAGUUUGAUGUAGUGAAGCACAUGCGUCAAGACCAAAUCACCAAUGGCAUGGUCAAUGCCAUCUCCACAGGAAAUUGGUCUCUGAAGAGAUUCAAAAUGGACCGCCAAGGCGUGACACAAGUAUUGUCCCGCUUGUCUUACAUAUCUGCUCUGGGAAUGAUGACUAGAAUCUCUUCUCAGUUUGAAAAGACAAGGAAAGUGAGUGGUCCUCGGUCACUACAACCAUCUCAGUGGGGCAUGCUCUGCCCAUCCGACACUCCUGAAGGAGAGGCUUGUGGUUUGGUUAAAAACCUUGCCCUCAUGACUCACAUUACUACAGAUAUGGAAGAUGGCCCAAUUAUUAAAUUAGCCAGUAAUCUUGGAGUUGAAGACGUCAACUUGCUCUGUGGUGAAGAACUUUCAUACCCAAAUGUGUUCCUUGUUUUCCUAAAUGGUAACAUCCUUGGUGUCAUACGUGAUCAUCAGAAAUUAGUGAACACAUUUCGGAUAAUGCGUCGAGCGGGUUAUAUCAAUGAAUUUGUUUCCAUCUCUACAAAUCUUUCUGACAGAUGUGUCUACAUUUCCUCUGAUGGAGGGAGAUUGUGCAGACCCUACAUAAUUGUCAAGAAGCAAAAACCUGCAGUUACAAACAAGCAUAUGGAAGAACUGGCUCAGGGAUACAGGAAUUUUGAAGACUUCUUGCAUGAAGGCCUUGUUGAGUAUUUGGAUGUGAAUGAAGAAAAUGACUGUAACAUUGCACUAUAUGAACACACAAUUAAUAAAGAUACAACGCAUUUGGAGAUUGAGCCUUUCACGCUUCUUGGUGUCUGUGCUGGGCUGAUUCCAUAUCCUCACCACAACCAGUCCCCAAGAAACACUUACCAGUGUGCCAUGGGGAAACAAGCAAUGGGUACUAUUGGAUACAAUCAAAGAAACAGGAUAGAUACUCUUAUGUAUCUUCUAGCCUAUCCGCAAAAGCCAAUGGUAAAAACAAAAACAAUUGAACUGAUAGAUUUUGAGAAACUGCCUGCUGGACAGAAUGCCACAGUUGCUGUGAUGAGCUACAGUGGUUAUGAUAUUGAAGAUGCUCUUGUCUUGAACAAGGCCUCUUUGGAUAGAGGUUUUGGAAGGUGUCUUGUAUACAAGAACGCCAAGUGUACACUGAAGCGUUACACAAACCAGACAUUUGAUAAAGUUAUGGGUCCGAUGUUGGAUGCAGCUACCCGUAAACCAAUCUGGCGCCAUGAAAUUUUAGAUGCUGAUGGUAUCUGCUCUCCAGGUGAAAAAGUAGAAAAUAAGCAAGUCCUUGUGAACAAAUCUAUGCCAACUGUGACCCAGACACCUCUGGAAGGAAGUAGUGUGCCUCAGCAGCCACAGUACAAAGAUGUGCCAGUAACCUACAAAGGUGCGACUGAUUCUUAUAUUGAAAAAGUAAUGAUUUCAUCAAAUGCAGAGGAUGCUUUCUUGAUAAAAAUGUUGUUGAGGCAAACUAGACGUCCAGAAAUUGGUGAUAAAUUUAGCAGUCGUCAUGGGCAGAAAGGGGUGUGUGGACUGAUUGUUCCUCAGGAAGACAUGCCAUUUUGCGAUACAGGAAUCUGUCCAGAUAUCAUAAUGAACCCUCAUGGCUUCCCAUCGCGUAUGACGGUAGGAAAGUUAAUUGAACUCCUGGCUGGAAAGGCUGGGGUCCUCGAUGGCAGGUUUCACUAUGGAACAGCUUUUGGAGGCAGUAAAGUUAAGGAUGUGUGCGAAGAUCUUAUUCGCCAUGGUUAUAACUACCUAGGGAAGGACUACGUAACAUCUGGUAUCACUGGGGAACCUUUGGAAGCAUAUAUCUAUUUUGGCCCUGUGUAUUACCAGAAACUAAAGCACAUGGUGUUGGAUAAAAUGCAUGCAAGAGCUCGAGGACCCAGAGCAGUGCUCACCAGGCAACCCACUGAAGGUCGAUCCCGUGAUGGUGGUUUACGUCUUGGAGAGAUGGAACGGGAUUGUUUGAUAGGUUAUGGAGCCAGCAUGCUUUUACUGGAGAGACUGAUGAUUUCAAGUGAUGCCUUUGAAGUGGAUGUUUGUGGGCAGUGUGGCUUGCUGGGGUACUCUGGCUGGUGCCACUACUGCAAAUCAUCAUGUCAUGUGUCUUCUCUGCGCAUACCUUAUGCCUGUAAACUCUUAUUCCAAGAACUGCAGUCAAUGAACAUCAUACCUAGGUUAAAACUAGCUAAGUACAAUGAAUGAAAAAGAUGGAAGAAAGUACUUGACAGAAAUUGAAAUCCAGCAUAUAUAACUGGAAGACUUUUUUGGUGAACAGUUGGACUAAUGACAACACAGAUGUCAGUGCAGCACAUUUGGAUUGGAAAAGCUCUUGAAGCACCUCUACCAGGAUCUGAACAGCUCAGGGUUAUUUACAAAGAGUUAUAAGAAAGUGAAGUGCUCCUUCAAACUGGAGGAAGAGGUUAACCCAAAGCCCCAACCAAAUUAACAACCUUUGCUUUGCUCCCUGAGAUUGCCAGACUGAGGCUCAGGUGCACCAGCAGAGGGAGUGAGCCUCAAAGGCUACGGUCUACUGGUGGGGAAAAGUCUUGACCUCAAUCAAGGAAACUACGCUGAGGAUGGGGUGUUUUUGCUAGCUAGUCCUCUCUUAAGUGGUCUCCUAGGUUAGGUGGUCAGAGCUCCAGCACAUUAAAGACUAAGCAAUGUGUACAAUUACACCUGAGGAAAUUUAGGCAGACAUAGCAGAGAUGGAGGCGGAGCAAAGGCGUGUGCUCGUGAGUAACCCUAUUGAGAGAACAGGUCUACGUGCAACCCUGAGAGGUAACCUUGCUGCUAGUUUACCUCAAGCUGAUAAAAGUGUGGGGUUGAAAGGUUUU